rnacentral:rRNA from 1 species
AUUGAACGCUGGCGGAAUGCUUUACACAUGCAAGUCGAGCGGCAGCGCGGGGCAACCUGGCGGCGAGCGGCGAACGGGUGAGUAACACAUCGGAACGUGCCCAGACGUGGGGGAUAGCCCGGCGAAAGCCGGAUUAAUACCGCAUACGAUCUAAGGAUGAAAGCGGGGGACUCGCAAGGGCCUCGCGCGUUUGGAGCGGCCGAUGGCAGAUUAGGUAGUUGGUGGGGUAAAGGCUUACCAAGCCUGCGAUCUGUAGCUGGUCUGAGAGGAUGAUCAGCCACACUGGGACUGAGACACGGCCCAGACUCCUACGGGAGGCAGCAGUGGGGAAUUUUGGACAAUGGGCGCAAGCCUGAUCCAGCCAUUCCGCGUGCAGGACGAAGGCCUUCGGGUUGUAAACUGCUUUUGUACGGAACGAAAAGGUCUACGUGUAGACUGAUGAGAGUACCAUAUGAAUAAGCAUCGGCUAACUCCGUG